AGCUGCAGUGGUACGGCAGACUAGAGGCGGUAGGGAGAUUGAACUCCUGGGUAGCGGUGAAUGCGCAGAUAUCAGGAGAACACCGAUGGCGAGGCAGAUCUCUGGCCGUACUGACGCUGAGGAGCGAAAGCAUGGGAGCGAACAGGAUUAGAUACCCUGGUAGUCCAUGCCGUAAACGUUGGGAACUAGAUGUAGGGUCCAUUCCACGGAUUCUGUGUCGCAGCUAACGCAUUAAGUUCCCCGCCUGGGGAGUACGGCCGCAAGGCUAAACUCAAAGGAAUUGACGGGGGCCCGCACAAGCCGGCGGAGCAUGCGGAUUAAUUCGAUGCAACGCGAAGAACCUUACCAAGGCUUGACAUAUACCGGAAAAGGCUGGAAACAGUCUCCCCGCAAGGUCGGUAUACAGGUGGUGCAUGGUUGUCGUCAGCUCGUGUCGUGAGAUGUUGGGUUAAGUCCCGCAACGAGCGCAACCCUCGUUCUAUGUUGCCAGCACGUAAUGGUGGGAACUCAUAGGAGACUGCCGGGGUCAACUCGGAGGAAGGUGGGGAUGACGUCAAAUCAUCAUGCCCCUUAUGUCUUGGGCUUCACGCAUGCUACAAUGGCCGAUACAAAGGGCUGCAAUACCGUAAGGUGGAGCGAAUCCCAAAAAGUCGGUCUCAGUUCGGAUUGAGGUCUGCAACUCGACCUCAUGAAGUCGGAGUCGCUAGUAAUCGCAGAUCAGCAACGCUGCGGUGAAUACGUUCCCGGGCCUUGUACACACCGCCCGUCAAGUCAUGAAAGUCGGUAACA
rnacentral:rRNA from 1 species